rnacentral:rRNA from 1 species
GUCCACGCUGUAAACGAUGACAACUGGGUGUUGCGGGUAUUGACUCCCGCUGCGCCGAAGCCAACGCGUUAAGUUGUCCGCCUGGGAAGUACGGCCGCAAGGCUAAAACUCAAAGGAAUUGACGGGGGCCCCGCACAAGCGGUGGAGCAUGUGGUUUAAUUCGACGCAACGCGAAGAACCUUACCUGGGCUCGAAAAUGCGCAGACCUGGCUGAAAGGCCGGGGUGCCCGCAAGGGAAUGCGUAUCAGGUGCUGCAUGGCUGUCGU